rnacentral:rRNA from 1 species
GAGUUUGAUCGUGGCUCAGGAUGAACGCUAGCGGCAGGCCUAAUACAUGCAAGUCGAGGGGCAGCGCGGGUAGCAAUACCUGGCGGCGACCGGCGCACGGGUGCGUAACACGUAUACAAUCUGCCUUUAACAGGGGGAUAGCCCGGAGAAAUCCGGAUUAAUACCCCAUAAUAUAUUGAGUGGCAUCACUUGAUAUUGAAAGCUCCGGCGGUUAGAGAUGAGUAUGCGCCUGAUUAGUUAGUUGGUGAGGUAACGGCUCACCAAGACUUCGAUCAGUAGGGGAUCUGAGAGGACUACCCCCCACACGGAUACUGAGACACGGAUCCGACUCCUACGGGAGGCAGCAGUAAGGAAUAUUGGACAAUGCCCGCAAGGGUGAUCCAGCCAUGCCGCGUGCAGGAAGACGGCCCUAUGGGUUGUAAACUGCUUUUACACCGGAGAAAACCCCUUCUCGUGAGGAGGGCUGAUAGUAUGGUGAGAAUAAGCAUCGGCUAACUUCGUGCCAG